rnacentral:ncRNA from 1 species
CUAGCGUAUUAUUUGGAAGGUUUCUCUACCCAGAGAAAACUAAUGAAGGAUGGUACCUGGACUACACGCUUAUCCAUAAUACAGCUUUGCUGUAAUAAAAUACAAUAGCAAUAAUUAGUAACGCUAAAAGGUGUGUGGGAAGCCCUUUUGUGAAAAUUAGAGUUAUGGUGGAUAAAUAAUUAUGGGUAAGCUAGCUGGU